rnacentral:rRNA from 1 species
GGCGAACGCUGGCGGCGUGCUUAACACAUGCAAGUCGAACGGAAAGGCCCUGCUUUUGUGGGGUGCUCGAGUGGCGAACGGGUGAGUAACACGUGAGUAACCUGCCCUUGACUUUGGGAUAACUUCAGGAAACGGGGGCUAAUACCGGAUAGGAGCUCCUGCUGCAGGGUGGGGGUUGGAAAGUUUGGGCGGGUGGGGAUGGACUGGCGGCUUAUCAGCUUGUUGGUGGGGUAGUGGCUUACCAAGGCUUUGACGGGUAGCCGGCCUGAGAGGGUGACCGGCCACCUUGGGACUGAGAUACGGCCCAGACUCCUACGGGAGGCAGCAGUGGGGAAUAUUGCACAAUGGGCGGAAGCCUGGUGCAGCAACGCCGCGUGCUGGAUGACGGCCUUCGGGUUGUAAACCGCUUUCGCCUGUGACGAAGCGUGAGUGACGGUAAUGGGUAAAGAAGCCCCGGCUAACUACGUG